GACGUAGGAUGCAAGCGUUGUCCGGAUUUAUUGGGCGUAAAGAGUUCGUAGGUGGUUCAUUAAGUUUGGUGUAAAAGACUGGGGCUCAACUCCGGGAUCGCACUGAAUACUGGUGGACUAGAGUGCAGUAGAGGCAAGCGGAAUUCCCAGUGUAGCGGUGAAAUGCGUAGAUAUUGGGAAGAACACCGGUGGCGCAAGCGGCUUGCUGGGCUGUAACUGACGCUGAGGAACGAAAGCUAGGGUAGCGAAUGGG
rnacentral:rRNA from 1 species